rnacentral:tRNA from 1 species
GGGCGCUUGGUCUAGGGGUAUGAUUUUCGCUUCGCAUUUCCGAAAGGAGAGCGUCUCAUUUGUGAAAGGUCGUGGGUUCAAUUCCCACAGUGUCCA